ensembl:lncRNA
CAUAAUGACAAUAUUCAUGCAGUGUGUAAAAUUUAUAUGGCUCUGUAUUACGAGCUGCAUUUCCCUACUGGAAUGAUUGGUUGCUUUUUCAGUUAUCAUUAUUUAUUUUUUAAUAUUUAUGUUAAAUGAAUGAAUUUGACCAUAAAGAACAUUACCCAGGCACAGCACAGCAUAGCCUAGCCGAGCCUGAUAUCUGUCUAUGACUGGCAAGACCCUUUCUGAAGAAGGCAGGUCUGAGUUUCGCAGAGCGAUUACAGCACAAUAUCGUUGUUAAGUAUGAGAGCAUACAUCACAUCGUCAUCACACCUGCUUUGAUUAUCUUACAUUUACAAUGCUUUUUGGAAACAUGGCACAGAUCAGUAGUCUCUUGCACUUGUUUCAGUGUCAGGUUUGAGUUUCUACACCAAGUGCUAGGAUAGAUACAUUAAAUUACAGUCAAUAAGAUUUUUUUUCCCCUUUUUUUUUAUUUUUUUAUUUUUAUUUUUUUAUAUAUACACCCACUAGGUAUAAACGGUGUCCAGUAACCAAACCUUCACUACAGUGAAAUUCCACAUUGAAAUUCCCACGUAAUAGGACACACGUGGAGUUCAUCAGCCGUAUUCACUCAAUCAUAAGUCGCCAUUCAUCAUGAAGAAUUCAUAAUCACCACCAUUUCUUCUUCCCUUUGUGAAUAAGGGUAGCUAGAAUGUGUGUAUGCCAUUUGACAUGCAUAUCUGCAUCAACUCACGAUGAGAAAUGUAUUCUGUGUAUAGAACUUUGUCUUUAGUCCACUUUCUCUUUCUUUGCAUCAUUCUCCUUACCUGUGUGCCUCAUUAUAUUAUUUUCCUCAUCCCUCAGUCUCUGACCCACCUAUUCCUGCGCUUCUCCUCUAAAACAGAUAUUGUCCUCCUUCCUUCACUCUAUCCCAUAAUCCUGUUAGAGGGAUGGGCUUUGAUCUCCUGUGACUGAUCAUGUUCCUGGUGUAAAGAGAAAGAGCUAGAGAGAGAAUAAAAGCAUGAGUGUACUGAUGAUUAAAGAGAAAUAUGCAUCGGCCCUCGUGUUAGUUCCCGCACUGCCUUCAUGCACGCGCUCUCUGGGUGACUGAACGAAGUGAAUAAAAAAAGCUGGGAACAAGUACACAGCAUUAAAACAGAAGUUUAUGUGACUGGAAAGCACAGAAAUCUAUUUCAAAUUUAUAUUACAGUAUUGUGGCAUAAAACUCAUACAAUGAGUAUAUAUUAUCAUAAAAGAAUCUACAGUGAAUUUAUUACAGUUAUUUACUUUUUUUGUUCAAGACUGUGCUGUUCUCUAUCGGGUUUCAUUACUAAAGGGUUCCUCCUGGGUUCUAUGGAUUCUAUGGAUAGUUAAAGCCAUAGUCCUCAGAUUCAUCAAGGAGAGUAGGGCUAAACCUCCCUGUCUUUCAUAGAUUAAAAAAGAAAUUAAUACAAGGUUUCAUUUUUCAAGGUGGAUUUUGUUGAUUUUUUUUGUGGAACCAACUGUAAUGAAAAUAUGGUAUGUAGCCCAGACUGUAGAUGCAUGCAGCCUGUGGUGAUGGUCAAAUUAGGUGAUUACACAAAGUGAAAUUCCUUCUAUAUUCUGUGUGCAUUUGAGCUUUUUCAGUCCAUGUCACCAACACGUCUAUGCUAACAAGGUAGAUUUCUUCUAUCAUCCACCCCCCCCAAAAAAUGCCUUUGGUAUUUGAAUGAAAUAUGGCCCAUGAGGUCAUUAUUGACUUAAUAUGUAAAAGAGAUAAAAUAAAAGCGAUUUUUAUAUCAUUUUUUAUUAAGCUAUGAAUCAGUACGCUUACAUGGACAAUAAUCCAAUAUUAACCAGAUUAAGACAAUAUUCUGAUUAAUAAACUACCAUGUAAACAGCAAUUUUGUAUUACAUUAAUCCGGCUAAAGUCAUACUCGGAGUAAACACAAAUCGAAUUAAGACAUGUGGAGUAUUCCUGUUUUAGUCGCAUUAUCGACGUGCAUUACAGACAUAUGAACUGUAUGUUGAAAUUCUGGAGGAAUGUCGGACGGCGUGGCGUGGGAACGUAAUGAUGUGUGCCAUUAAUCGAUCUCUGUUCUAUAACAUGUAAAACAGCAACAUGAAAGGAAUAUUGUAAAAGUGACUCAUGUAAACACCUUAAUCAGAAUAUUGUCUUAUUCAGAAUAAGGUCAAUGAUUAGAUUAUUGCUGUCCAUGUAAACGUAGUCUGUGAGACCUCAUGAUAUACAGUGGCUUUGGAUAGUAAUCAGACUCUUCACUUUUUGCAGACUUGGAUUACAUAGACUCUUUAUUUUUUGCUGUUAAUCUACACAUAAUUAUCCAUAAUGGGGGGGGGGGGG